UACGAAGGGUGCAAGCGUUACUCGGAAUUACUGGGCGUAAAGCGUGCGUAGGUGGUUCGUUAAGUCUGAUGUGAAAGCCCUGGGCUCAACCUGGGAACUGCAUUUGAAACUCCCUUUCUUGAGUACCGGAGAGGAAAGUGGAAUUCCUGGUGUAGAGGUGAAAAUUCGUAGAGAUCGGGAAGAACAUCGGUGGCGAAGGCGGCCUGCUGGGCUCUUGCUGACACGUGAUGCGCGACAGCGUGGGGAGCAAACAGG
rnacentral:rRNA from 1 species